UUGUGGUGAGUAAUGUAGAGUGACUCCUACGCUUUUUGUUUAAGAGAAAAGUGGGGAAAAAAUCAUUCUUUGUAAAUUCUUUUAUUUUUCUCUCUGACAUUUUUAGUGAAAUCUACCUCGAUAGCAAAGAGAACUAGACGUAGCCCACAUAAUUGGUGAACUAGUAUAUAAAUCAGAUUUUCAGGUAAAAAAAAUGAUGGAAACUACCAAAAAUGAAAACAAUUCUAAAGAAGAACAAGAAUUGAGAGAAGAAAAUGAAGAAGAAGCCAUAGAAUCGAGUUCGAGUUCUUCGUUUCUACCUGAUUUGAACCUUCUAUUUGUGCUUCUCUCAUUAAUUUCUCCAAAUUUAAAUGAAGAUUCAAACAGUGAAAAUAGUGAAUCGAUGAAAAUGAAAGAGAUUGAAGCUAAUAACACCUAUAAUAUUGGACGAUCGGGUGUAAGAAAGAAAGAUGUGAUUGAAGCCAAGUUUGAAAGUCGUCGACGAGUAUCACAAAGGUCUCAUACAACAAUAAAGGAUCACAGACACGGGAGGAAAAUGUGAAGCAAUCAAUGAAGAAAGACAAAUGGUUAUUAAAAGGAGAUGAGAAUAUAUGUUACGACUAAUAUAUAAAAGUUUUGACAUCAUCAGCACAUGAAGAAGAUGCUCAAGUGAUGUUGACACCCUUCAUGGUCAGUCAAAUAUGUUAUAUCAUUAUCAUAGGGCUAAUUUGUUCGUCAAACUAAUAGUUGACAUGACAAUCUUUUUUUUAAUAUAACAAGUGAGGUAUGAAAAUUUAAACCUCCAAUGUUGAGAUAUAGAGUAGAUGUCAAUUAUUGCUAACAAGGCAAUAUGAUGCAAGUAAUAUGAACAAGGUAAUUAAAAGUUUGAUAGGAGUACAAAUUCAACGUCAUGAAUUACAUAUAUACAAAAUAUAAGAAAGACAUAAGAUUUGAACAUUAAAAGAAAGAAUAUGAUACAUAUUUUUCGAGUACAAUAGAGACGGGAAGGAUUCACAAAUUUCGUAGUUUUACAAACUAGCUUAUGAUUUGUGCUAAUGUGUAAAGUUAAAUUAAAAUUUCCAUGUAUAAAUAAACAUUUUGGCUAGUCUUCAAAUAUAACUCAAUAUAGCUUUUAAAAUCUUUAUAAGGAUUGUAGGUCCGAUGGAGGCAUCUUCUACAUCCUUGUCUAUUUUAUUUUAUAAUUUUCACUUCUUUGGAUACUAAUAGUAUGUAUAGCCCCUUUUUAUUGUCAUAAUAGGUUAUGCACGAGUAAUUGGCAAAUUGAAUCAAACAGUGGAAAAUUUUUCCAUUAUUAUAACGAAGCAAUUAGCAUAUAUUUUAAGUUGGGUCCAUGC